UCCCUUGUCCUCUGGACUACAGGUCAGCUGUAGCACAGCGCAUUUCCAGAUCUAGGUAGUUGGCUGUUCCCUAGAGGAUUUGAUUUCAAGAAAAGAAAAAACUUCAACUGCAAGAAAACUGUGUUGUCACUAGGAGGCUAAAAAAGUGCUAAACAAUAAAGUGCUAAACAAAAUCCUGAAAAACAGAAGAUUUUGUGGAGAAACUUGGCCCGUUGAUCUCAGUGUAAGUUACUGAAGUAUUUUAUAUUCUUGUGAAUCCCACAUAACUUUGCGCAAGCCACGAAACCUUAGCAUGGUAUUAUUCAACAAAGCACUGGGGCUUUUCACUGGGACUCAACCCCUUAAAAUGGGUUAAUGUAGGGACUCGGUGUUUUACCCCAUGACCCAGCAGCGAGACAAAGAGCACUACUAUGUGAAGGAAAGGUGGAAUAGCUUGGAAAUUGUUUCAGUGAGAGUGUCAGGGAAGAAACAAUAGGAGAUGAAGAAUUGCCAAGCUGGAAUAUAAGACAGAAAGUUACCUUUUAUCUAAUAUUCCUUAGAAAGCUAACUGCUGCCUGACACAUUGACCUUGGGCUGGGCUCCAGAUGUUGAGAGGGUUUUGCUACCUCAUCUCCCUAAGAGAAGGAGAAGUAAUGGUCCCAGAUGGAACAGCCAGGGAAUUGAGCACACAGUAGAAGGCUGUGAUUAUGACCUUGCUGUCCUUCUUGGAAGUGGGAAGCCCCCAGCUACACAGGAAGAGCUGCUGGCCUUUGGUAUUCCAACACAGAUCAGGUGGAACCCAAUGGCAUCACAAAACCUAUUUUUCUUUCACUGUCUCAUAAUGGCACUUGGGUUGGCAAAUUCAGCCUUUUUAUUUGUUGUAUUAAAAAAAAAAGCCAACGGAACAAUCUUAUUUUAUCAGCUUUCUUCUGUGAUCUUAUUCGUGGUCUGCACGAACCAGAAUCAGAAGGGUCCCAAAUAAAGUGAGUUUUGCUCAGAUUAAAGAGUGAUUUGACUCCAAGCUUGAUUUAUGAUAAUUAAAGGAAAAACAAGUUGGACAAGAUGCUGAAGAGAAAAUUGAGGCCUGGUAAUACAUGCAAACAGGGAGAAGCUGCUGUUGUUGUUCUUCGUGCUUUGUUUUCCAGCAGCAGAAGCUGUUGUGUUUUGUCUCCUCCAACCAGGAACUAAAAAUGAUCUGAUGGACUAAUAAGAAAGAUGUCUUGUUUUUGUUGAAGUGAUUUUUUUUUUCUUUCCUAAAAAGGAAGAUAUUUUUGGAAAUAUUUUGCAUCUUGUUUCCCCCCUUUUCCCCUCAGAUAUAUGAAGUGUCCUGUGUGGAAUGCUGCUUGGUGUGCAGGGUGCUCGGUCGCUCCACCUGUUUUGAAGAGCAGUAGAAUAGCACACUCAAAAUGUACAAAUGGCUGGUCUGAGGCAAGUGGAAGUGAAAAAACAGACACUGAUGAGCAAUCAGGCCACACUAACCUUUAAACUAAGGCUGGGAGGCUUUUUUCCUCAAGUCCCCUCUCUGUGCUGAGGUGAAGUGCUGUUAACAAUACAUCUCCAUUCACGUUUGCUCUGCUGGACCAUCACAAAGCAGCUGACAUGGACUGGCAAAUUCAGCCUUCGGAGGCUGUUGACCACUUGGCUGCAGAGGGCUCUGUAACACCGUACUUGAAAAAGCAAACAAAAUUCAAAGAUGAGAGUUCAAGUGAGCUGGUCUGUUCUCAGUGGUUUUGUGCAAACUGUUUAUUGCCGUGCCACAUCUACUGAGCUGUUCUGCUUAAUAAACCUCUGAAAAUCUAACCCAACUCCACUGCCGUACAAGGAUUAGGCAUGGUAAUACCUCUCUCUCUUCAGCCACUUCUGAGGAUUAGCUUCAAAAUCAAAUUAAAAUGAAGCAAACCCAAAUAGACGGGGUAGUUCCACAAUAGGUUGCAAGGCCCGGAUUCAGUAACCGUCAUCUGUGCCUCUUGCAUUUUAUAUUACUCUGAGGUUCCUGUGCAAAUACCAUUAGGGUACACCUGCUGUGUAUGGUGAAAGUGAGAAACAAUUUGUGUGUGGCACAUCAGUAUCCUAAGGUUACGAGGCCUUACUUGCCCGAGUAUUCUUACUGAAGUAAAAAAAAAAAUCUAUUUGAGUUUGUUUAUUUCCAAACGCUGAGGGGAAGACACAUGAUAUUUACCUCACAAUAUGAGGAAAAAGAGGCAAGGGUGAGAAGUAUAAUGCUCUCCCAAGUGUGCUGUCACUUGGAGAAAUGGCUACAAAACACUGAGUACACGUCUUGGUUUUCAUUCCUACACAAGUCAUUAGUUUUUAUUCUUUUUCUCAAGUGUACCAAUUUGUUUUUUAGAAGUGACCAGUGAGUGUAAUAAAGUGUUUGUCUAAACAGGUAUAUUAAAACAAAAUAUGCAAAACU